AGCCCCGUGGUGUAGCGGUCAAGCAUGACUGGCUCUGGACCAGUAGACCUCGGUUCGAAGCUUCUGAAAAUCCGAGCGGGGCUA
rnacentral:tRNA from 1 species